rnacentral:rRNA from 1 species
GACGAACGCGUGGCGGCGUGGAUUAGGCAUGCAAGUCGAACGGUAUCAUCCUUUCGGGGGUGAGAGAGUGGCGAACUGGUGAGUAACACGUAGGUUAUCUACCCUCAAGACGGGGACAACCCAGGGAAACUUGGGCUAAUACCGGAUGUGAGCAACUUUUAGUGUUUGAAAGGUGGCGUAAGCUGUCGCUUGGGGAUGAGCCUGCGUCCUAUUAGUUAGUUGGUGAGGUAACGGCUCACCUAGGCAAUGAUAGGUAGGCGGCCUUAACGGGUGGUCGCCCACACUGGGAUUGAGAUACGGCCCAGACUCCUACGGGAGGCAGCAGUCGAGAAUAGUCUACAAUGGUCGGAAGACUGAUAGUGCGACGCCGCGUGAACGAUGAAUCCCUUCGGGGUGUAAAGUUCUUUUAUAUGUGAGCAGUGCUUCUUAUAUUAACAGUAUGGGGAGAGAGAUAUUAGCAUAUGAAUAAGCAACGGCUAACUCCGUG